AUAUAAAUAUGUUUGUGAGAGAUGCAUGUUGUGUACUUAUGUAAUGUAUGUAAUCUAUCUAUGCAUUGUAGGGAAGGGAGUUGGAGAGAAAAAGGAGAAAGAGCAGAAAAAAACCAGUGAAAGGUGCUUUAGGGAAUGAAGAAAAUGACCAAGAGAAUGUAUCAAUGGAAGGGAGUUGGAGAGAAAAAGGAGAAAGAGCAGAAAAAAACCAGUGAAAGGUGCUUUAGGGAAUGAAGAAAAUGACCAAGAGAAUGUAUCAAUGGAAGGGAGUUGGAGAGAAAAAGGAGAAAGAGCAGAAAAAAACCAGUGAAAGGUGCUUUAGGGAAUGAAGAAAAUGACCAAGAGAAUGUAUCAAUGGAAGGGAGUUGGAGAGAAAAAGGAGAAAGAGCAGAAAAAAAACCAGUGAAAGGUGCUUUAGGGAAUGAAGAAAAUGACCAAGAGAAUGUAUCAAUGGAAGGGAGUUGGAGAGAAAAAGGAGAAAGAGCAGAAAAAAACCAGUGAAAGGUGCUUUAGGGAAUGAAGAAAAUGACCAAGAGAAUGUAUCAAUGGAAGGGAGUUGGAGAGAAAAAGGAGAAAGAGCAGAAAAAAACCAGUGAAAGGUGCUUUAGGGAAUGAAGAAAAUGACCAAGAGAAUGUAUCAAUGGAAGGGAGUUGGAGAGAAAAAGGAGAAAGAGCAGAAAAAAACCAGUGAAAGGUGCUUUAGUGAAUGAAGAAAAUGACCAAGAGAAUGUAUCAAUGUAAGUACCUAUGUC